rnacentral:rRNA from 1 species
GUGGGGAAUCUUGCGCAAUGGGCGAAAGCCUGACGCAGCCAUGCCGGGUGAAUGAUGAAGGUCUUAGGAUUGUAAAAUUCUUUCACCGGGGACGAUAAUGACGGUACCCGGAGAAGAAGCUCCGGCUAACUUCGUGCCAGCAGCCGCGGUAAUACGAAGGGGGCUAGCGUUGCUCGGAAUUACUGGGCGUAAAGGGCGCGUAGGCGGACAGCUUAGUCAGAGGUGAAAGCCCAGGGCUCAACCUUGGAAUUGCCUUUGAUACUGGCUGUCUUGAGUUUGGGAGAGGUGAGUGGAACUCCGAGUGUAGAGGUGAAAUUCGUAGAUAUUCGGAAGAACACCAGUGGCGAAGGCGACUCACUGGCCCAAUACUGACGCUGAGGCGCGAAAGCGUGGGGAGCAAACAGGAUUAGAUACCCUGGUAGUCC